AUUGAACGCUGGCGGCAGGCCUAACACAUGCAAGUCGAGCGAGCGGCGGACGGGUGAGUAACGCGUGGUAACCUGCCUCAUAGCGGGGGAUAACUAUUGGAAACGAUAGCUAAUACCGCAUACUGUGAGAUGGACCUGCGUUGUAUUAGCUAGUUGGUGAGGUAAAGGCUCACCAAGGCGACGAUACAUAGCCGACCUGAGAGGGUGACCAGCCACACUGGAACUGAGACACGGUCCAGACUCCUACGGGAGGCAGCAGUGGGGAAUAUUGCACAAUGGGCGCAAGCCUGAUGCAGCCAUGCCGCGUGUAUGAAGAAGGCCUUCGGGUUGUAAAGUACUUUCAGCGGGGAGGCGUUACCCGCAGAAGAAGCACCGGCUAACUCCGUGCCAGCCGCCGCGGUAAUUC
rnacentral:rRNA from 1 species